rnacentral:rRNA from 1 species
GACGAACGCUGGCGGCGUGCUUAACACAUGCAAGUCGAACGGUAAGGCCCUUUCGGGGGUACACGAGUGGCGAACGGGUGAGUAACACGUGGGUGAUCUGCCCUGCACUUUGGGAUAAGCCUGGGAAACUGGGUCUAAUACCGGAUAGGACUACGCGAUGCAUGUCGCGUGGUGGAAAGCUUUUGCGGUGUGGGAUGGGCCCGCGGCCUAUCAGCUUGUUGGUGGGGUGAUGGCCUACCAAGGCGACGACGGGUAGCCGGCCUGAGAGGGUGUCCGGCCACACUGGGACUGAGAUACGGCCCAGACUCCUACGGGAGGCAGCAGUGGGGAAUAUUGCACAAUGGGCGCAAGCCUGAUGCAGCGACGCCGCGUGGGGGAUGACGGCCUUCGGGUUGUAAACCCCUUUCAGCACAGACGAAGCGUAAGUGACGGUAUGUGCAGAAGAAGCACCGGCCAACUACGUG